AACGGGAGCAGACUAACAGGAUUCCCCUAGUAACUGCGAGUGAAGCGGGAAAAGCUCAAAUUUAAAAUCUGGCAGUCUUUGGCUGUCCGAGUUGUAAUCUAGAGAAGUAUUAUCCGCGCUGGACCGUGUACAAGUCUCCUGGAAUGGGGCGUCAUAGAGGGUGAGAAUCCCGUCUUUGACACGGACUGCCAGGGCUUUGUGAUGUGCUCUCAAAGAGUCGAGUUGUUUGGGAAUGCAGCUCAAAAUGGGUGGUAAAUUCCAUCUAAAGCUAAAUAUUGGCGAGAGACCGAUAGCGAACAAGUACCGUGAGGGAAAGAUGAAAAGAACUUUGGAAAGAGAGUUAAACAGUACGUGAAAUUGCUGAAAGGGAAACGCUUGAAGUCAGUCACGUUGGCCAGGGAUCAACCUUGCUUUUUUGCUUGGCUUACUUUCUGGUUGAUGGGUCAGCAUCAAUUUUGACUGGUGGAAAAAGUUCAAGGGAAUGUGGCAUCUUCGGAUGUGUUAUAGCCUUUGUUCGCAUACAUUGGUUGGGAUUGAGGAACUCAGCACGCCGCAAGGCCGGGUUUUUAACCACGUACGUGCUUAGGAUGCUGGCAUAAUGGCUUUAAUCGACCCGUCUUGAAACACGGACCAAGGAGUCUAACAUGCCUGCGAGUGUUUGGGUGAAAAACCCGAGCGCGUAAUGAAAGUGAAAGUUGAGAUCCCUGUCGUGGGGAGCAUUGACGCCCGGAUCUGACCUUUUGUGACGAUUCUGCGGUAGAGCAUGUAUGUUGGGACCCGAAAGAUGGUGAACUAUGCCUGAAUAGGGUGAAGCCAGAGGAAACUCUGGUGGAGGCUCGUAGCGAUUCUGACGUGCAAAUCGAUCGUCAAAUUUGGGUAUAGGGGCGAAAGACUAAUCGAACCAUCUAGUAGCUGGUUCCUGCGAGU
rnacentral:rRNA from 1 species